rnacentral:rRNA from 1 species
GGGGAAUAUUGCGCAAUGGGGGGAACCCUGACGCAGCAACGCCGCGUGAGUGAAGAAGGUCUUCGGAUCGUAAAACUCUGUCAUUGGGGAAGAAGUAAGUGACGGUACCCAAUGAGGAAGCCCCGGCUAACUACGUGCCAGCAGCCGCGGUAAUACGUAGGGGGCGAGCGUUGUCCGGAAUUACUGGGCGUAAAGGGUGCGUAGGCGGUCUUUUAAGUCAGAUGUGAAAUACCAGGGCUCAACCUUGGGGGUGCAUUUGAAACUGGGGGACUUGAGUGCAGGAGAGGAAAGUGGAAUUCCUAGUGUAGCGGUGAAAUGCGUAGAGAUUAGGAGGAACACCAGUGGCGAAGGCGACUUUCUGGACUGUAACUGACGCUGAGGCACGGGAGCGUGGGGAGCAAAC